GCUGCAUCAGUUGGAAACAAUUUUCAACAUUAAUAAUUAUAUUUUUUUAAUUUCGAUUUUACUACAAUAUUACAAUUCCACAUGAAAUAUAACGCUUCUCUAUAUAACGAUACAUCUCAAAAAGAUUCGUAUACAAGUAAUUUACGACUUUGAAGAAAGCAAUAAAGUGUAUUUUUUCAAAACUUUUAACACGGUUCUUGUUACUUGGUAGUGAAGUUCGAGUUUCUUAUUAAGUGGAAUUGUAGGUUUUUCCUUCUCUGACUCGUUAUCCAUAACAACAUUGUUAAGUUAAAUUCCAAGACAUCGUCCAUGAAAGUUAUUUCGAAACUUGUGAUUCACUGCGAACAUUUUUUCUCUGAAAUGGUUACACGACAACCGUCCAGUUGAUGAGUAUCCUGGGUACUUUACGGAUCUUUACGGUCUUCCCACGAAUUGCAACACGGUUAUUUUGGAACAGAUAAUUACAACUCAACUGAAUAGUUACAAGAUGGCAAUGUCGGGUAAAGAUGAUGAUGAAUCGUGUCCGGGAAAACAAGAGAGAAAUGAGAAAAUAAAUACAGAACACACGAGGUAACCCUCGACAAAUAACACAAAAAGAAAGGAAAGUUUUACGCAUCACACAACAAACAUUCACAUGAAAGUAUUUUUCUUCCUCUGAACCAUUGAACACAUUUGUACAAGUUCACAAACAGACACAUCAUAUAUGUCAAUAUUUGAGUGCGUUUUGAAGAAAAUAUAUCAACGUACGCAGUGACAAUAAACAGUAACUAUUCCCACCAUUAAUGAAAUAAUUAACAUAUAUGGCUGCAAAGAUAGAAAUACAAAAACAGUAAUAAGUAUAUGAAAAUAAGUCAUUGAUUAUCACAUUGCUUCAUUCAACAAUUUUGCACACUAACAGCAAAAUUUGGUAAAAAAUACUACUUCAGUAAAAAUGCAUUUUACGACUUUUACUGCAUUUUUAAUGCAUUUUACGAUUGGAAACCUAGUGAUCAGAAAACACGAAUAUUAAUAUACCCUGCGAAUCAUCCGUUUGGUACUUAUUAUCACAAUGAAACUUAAACCUCAAUGGUUUCAGUAGAGCAGAACAUUUUCAGUGCUCGUGAAUUAGCCUCUCUCACGAAGGCCAAAUUCGCCAUUUUUGGGGUACUUUUUUGAAAAACGACGUGAAAAAUCUAAGCGAUAUGAAAACAUUUUUUCAAAGAUAUGACUGUAAAUUAACUUACAAUGAUUAUUACUCACAAUUAUAGUUCUACAAAUCCCUUAUUCACUGCCUUCAAUCUCAGACUUGGAAAAGGUGGUACCCCAAAAAUGGCGGCGUAAGAAAGGCUAAUUAACUACGUCUAAUAUCUUCCAAACUUUUAAAUUAUGUUAAUGUUUAUAGGGUUUGACUAUUAUGUACUAUUUAAAACAUGAGGAGCAGUGUUUUAGCAGAUAUAAAGAUACGAGGCGAAGCCGACCGAGUAUCUUUAGGUCUGAUAAAACAUGCACUGCGAAUGUUUUAACUUGCUUCAAAAACGACCGAUCUAGUAAAUUCAUUGGCGAAGUAAUUUAAAAAAAAAAAAUUGUGUAAGCCGAGAAAAUCAAAGUUAAAGUUUAUGUAAAUAAAAGAAAUGUCUAUCACAUAUAAAGAUACGACACGCUUAUGAGUUUUCUUUGUGUUUUCCUCAUGAAUUAUUGCGUUUUUAAAGAUUAAAUGAAAACACUUUAGUUUUAUUUGUUGGGUUAUGCAGUCCCAGCUACGUAGUAUCAAAAAAGGCCAACACGGCAUGAUAAAAGUAUUAAGCAUGCAAUGCGUUUCAGAUAAACAUGAAAAUUAUUCUCAAAAAUAAUGAAAUCUUGAUGGAGGUUGCCGCUUUGUUAUAUAUUAGCGAAUGAAGUUCGACAAAAAGGAAAGUAUUACGUUAAACUUAGUGAUUAUGGGACCUGUAGUGCGUUAGGGGAUGGCAGUAAAUACCUUCUUGUUUAGGAGACCGGAUAAUUUGUUCAUUUUUCGCUCAUGUUAAAUUAACAUAACUUAAUAACAAUUUAGUUUUUGGACAGUUCCUACAGUGACAAGAUGAGGCACACAUUCGGUUAAAGUAAAAGUGUACAAUGAUGCUAGUAAGAUUAUAGGCAAUAUUUUAUUGAAGUGCUGGGAUGGUAUGGGAAACCUAUUGGACAGAUUGGACAUAAUAAUUGUAAAUAAUCGAUUGGACUAUAAUUGUACAUAAUAAUUGUAAAUUGGAUCCUAUCGAUUAAAACAUCCGAAGUUUAAAACAGAUUCAAGGGUGCAGUGAAUGAGCCAUAACAAAGCUCCAGUUGAUGUAAAAAGACCAUAUUGAAAAAGAAAAAACACUUUACUGGGAAAAAAAUUCACAACUCUGAAUAGAAUAGACGACGUACAAGAAAUAUUUAGAUAUUACACAAUUAUCGUGAUUUGUCAGUGGCGACCAGAUCUAUUACUUGCCGAUGCCCAAGACAGAAGAGGAAAGACAUUGAAAUCACGAAACUUAAAUCACGGUCGUUUCUUCUACAACAGAAGCAGAAACUGACCCCAACCUCGCUUCUUCUACAACAGAAGCAGAAACAUUCAUCAAGCUCGCUUCUUCUAAACAGAAACCACUGUUGCUCAGCUGCAACACAUUUUCUUCACAACCAUAUUACCGCCCAACUGGCGAAAUAAGUUUCCUUCAACUUUGGGCUUCUUUUUUAUAAGUUUGUCAAGCAAACACAAAAUCCUAAUUUGCAAAAGUUCGGUAAAAUAAGCAAGCCAUCCAUAGAGACAUGUUUACAAAAGCGAAGCCAAUGAGCACGAACAGAUCAUUAUUUGCAGCGGAGCUACGAUUUUGCCUAAUGCGCAUAUGCUCAGACUAUUAUUUACACAAUUACGAUACAAAACCCUUUUAAAUAUGGCUUUAUAAUAAGAAUAUUUUAGAUUGUCGUAGUUCCGGAUGGCGAAACAGCAAAGAAAGUGCCUGCAGUGCCUGGAUUGUUGGAACAUCGUAAAGAUUCCAAGGAACUAUAUGCAAGGGCGGAUGAAACUCGAGUGUUGUUGCGGAAGAGGAGGUAGUUGGAGCUGACGUGCAUUUGCAUUAGUUAUUGUAGGAAAUUAGCCAAUCAAAAUUGAGUAAAUAAUCAUAUGAAUAAACAUGGUUAAUUGUGGUUUGCUGAUCCAAAUGAAGAGUUCCUAGGCCCUCAUAAUUUUGGUAGUAGUUGAAUGAGGAAAGCUUGAAAGAAAUUGUAAAAGUUUGAAUGUGAUCCGAAAAAAGUACUUGAAACUUCUUCGUAAACGUAAAAGAAAACCAAUAUCAAAUAUCAAAUUAAAUAUCAAAUAAACAACAUUUGGCUUGCGGUUCUCAGUAAGGCUAAUGCAAAAACCCAUUACAAGGAUGAG